rnacentral:rRNA from 1 species
CUUAUGCAUGCAAGUCGAGCGAUGAGGCCUCUUCGGGGGGUAAUCAGCGGCAGACGGGUGAGUAACACGUAGGUGAUCUACCCCAGAGACGGGGAUAACGGGUGGAAACAUCCGCUAAUACCGGAUAGACUUGUUCGGUCAAAGGGACAAGGAAAGGCUCCGGCGCUCUGGGAGGAGCCUGCGGCCCAUCAGCUAGUUGGCGGGGUAACGGCCCACCAAGGCAAAGACGGGUAGGGGGUGUGAGAGCAUGGCCCCCCACAAUGGGACUGGAACACGGCCCAUACUCCUACGGGAGGCAGCAGCAGGGAAUAUUGCACAAUGGACGGAAGUCUGAUGCAGCGACGCCGCGUGGAUGAAGAAGGCCCUCGGGUUGUAAAAUCCUUUACAGGGGGAAGAGGAAGGACGGUACCCCUGGAACAAGUGUCGGCUAACUACGUGCCAGCAGCCGCGGUAAGACGUAGGACACAAGCGUUAUCCGGAUUUACUGGGCGUAAAGCGUCUGCAGGCGGACAGGUAAGUUGGGCGUGAAAGCUCCGGGCCCAAACCGGAGAGGUCGUUCAAUACUGCGUGUCUAGAGGGUGUCAGAAGGGGAGUGGAAUUUCCGGAGUAGCGGUAAAAUGCGCAGAGAUCGGAGAGAACACCAAUGGCGAAGGCAGCUCCCUGGGGCAACCCUGACGCUAAGAGACGAAAGCUAGGGGAGCGAACAGGAUUAGAGAACCC